rnacentral:rRNA from 1 species
GUCUACAGCCAUGCCACCCUGAACAAGCCUGAUCAGGUCUGACCUCGAAAGCUAAGCAAGGUCGGGCCUGGUUAGUACUUGGAUGGGAGGCCACUUAGGAAGACCAGGUGCUGUAGGCA